GCCGGCAGCUAGCUCUCUGCAACUCUCACAUGGCUGUCCAUUGAAGCCAAGCAGGGCUGUGCCUGGUCAGUACCUGGAUGGGAGACCACAUGUAAAAACUAGGUUGCUGCUGGAA
rnacentral:rRNA from 1 species